UGUUUUUCAUACAAUUGUAGAUAAGACAGAUACUUCGGUGAUCUCGUUUAGCUGAUACAGCCUGUAUAAUAAAGAAAUAUCAAGUACAAUGCGUCGUUGUCAAAAUACGAAGAAAAACCGCGAAGGAACUCGUAGAAAUAAUUCUAACAAUCGAAAGAGUCGUACGCGUUCGUUUAUUUAAUCUAAACGUUGGAAAUUUUCCAUUUCUAGAACAAUCGUGAGAAUGUAUCGUAAGGUGUCUCGAGUCGAGAAAGAAAAUCCUCAUAGGCGUAGAAAAAAUUGAAGUCGUAUCUGCUUGGAAUUCAACCAACUAACGUAAACUCCGAUCCUGUCUCUCGAACAAGAAUGAUACCUACGGAUAACCGGAAACGGUGCAACGAAGCGAAACUUCCGGCGAAGUGGACAUCUAUGCGUGGAACAUACGCGCGCAAUCGAAAUAGCGUGAAAAUGUUUACCGCGUAAAAGACGUAAUAAUUUAGUUAGUUUCUCUGAUUGCAAUUUGAUACGUUUCAAUGCCAUUUUUUACGUACGUAUAUUUGUUGAACAAAAUAAGGAAAACACGUCUUACAUGUCAUGCAUCUUCCGCUUAGUGCGUAGCUGAAAAUGUUUGGUCGACAAAUUGUUCAAAUUCCGAUUAAUAUACGCUACGCGAUCGUUUACGAACUUUAGUUUGUUUAUUAGCAGCGUACUGUUGCAUUCAUUGUACUAUAUGUCGGAUCUUAAAACGGGUCUACGUUACUCCAAAAGCAUUCCAGACCACUGAUCCUAUCCAGCAGUGGAUUGCAACUGGAAUAAUGCAAACAGCGUUUUUAUAAUCAACUAGUGUAAACGUAGCUUUGCAGGCUUUGAAAGAGGCCAAAUUACUAGUGCCCAUCCAGCUGGUACAUCGGUAACAAAAAUCUUGAAUUUUCCUAUCCAAGCAUACAUAGCAUUAUGGUUUAUUUUGCGGAACAAAGUUAGCAGCAAAUUUUCUCUUCCGGCUUCGCUGGAGGAACUUGAAAAACACGAAAAUUACGCGAA